CCUUCCUCACUCCCUGCUAUAUAUACACCCUCUCUUUCACACACAGGGAUAUGAAUUGCAAACCCUCUUGUUUAGCCGCCGCUAUUCCAGUUUGAGCAGAAAUACAAGUACCUUUCACAACCCAACUCUGGCCAAUUCUUCAUCUUAAUGUACCAAAAGCUAGUCUUCAUAUUCACUUCAUCACAUUUAAUCAGAUCCCAUAUAUUCCACACAAUCAACCUACAUAUUUCUAUAUUAAUUUUCUUCUUUGUCCAUUUCAUCACCUAAUUCUCUUUGUGAUUUUAUGAUAGAGGGAUCAAUGAGCACUUUAAAUACUUGAAUGCCGCAUUGGUGCAUGUGAUUAAGAUCUGAUGCAACAGAUCUAUGAGGUUUAUAUUAUUUCACCGAUUAUGAUUUCUUUAACUAAUUAUGUCACAAACCAACAGUGACAAAUUUAGUUAAAGAAAUCAUACUCAGUGGAAUAAUUUAAUCCUCAAAGAUCUUUGUAGCAGUGACAUACUUAUGCCUAUAAAAGUGAUCCAAAUAGGUUUGUAUUAUCAAAACUAUAAGAUCUUCAUAUCUACAUAACAUUCAAAUAAAGCUUCGAUGCUUCUUCUAGUAGAUUGAAGUGUGGGUCUCUUAUGUUGUAUACAAAUAAAUCUUGUUGGAUCUGAUGGUAGAUUGCAUCAUAUAACGAUAUUAUGUAUUUUAAUAUUUCUGAUUUUCAUGAUUAAUUAUGUUGUAAUUUAUGCAUAGUAAUGUUUUAUGCAUUUAUUUAUGAUUUUUGAUAUUAAUAAAUUCUCAAAUAUUAAGGAGCUCAAU
rnacentral:lncRNA from 1 species